CAGCCGCCGCGGUAAUACCGGCGGCCCGAGUGGCGGUCACUAUUAUUGGGCUUAAAGCGUCCGUAGCCGGGUUGGGAAGUCCUCCGGGAAAUCUGGCCGCUUAACGGUCAGAAUGCCGGAGGAUACUCCCAGCCUAGGGAGCGGGAGAGGCCGAGGGGAUUCCCGGAGUAGGGGGGAAAUCCUAUAAUCCCGGGAGGACCACCUGUGGCGAACGCGCUCGGCUGGAACGCGUCCGACGGUGAGGGACGAAGGCCAGGGGAGCAAACCGGAUUAGAUACCCGGGUAGUCCUGGCUGUAAACGAUGCGGACUUUGUGUCGGACAAGCUAUGAGCUUGUCCGGUGCCGGAGGGAAACCGUUAAGUCCGCCGCCUGGGGAGUACGGCCGCAAGGCUGAAACUUAAAGGAAUAGGCGGG
rnacentral:rRNA from 1 species